rnacentral:rRNA from 1 species
UACGGUGAAUACGUCCCGGACCUUGCACACACCGCCCGUCAAGCCAUGGAGCCGGGUGUACCUAAAGUCGGUAACCGUAAGGAGCCGCCUAGGGUAAAACUGGUGACUGGGGCU